rnacentral:rRNA from 1 species
AGAAUCAACGCUGGCGGCGUGCCUAACACAUGCAAGUCGAGCGCGAAAGGGGAGCAAUCCCCAAGUAGAGCGGCGAACGGGUGAGUAACGCGUGGGUAAUCUACCUUCGAGUGGGGAAUAACAGCGGGAAACUGCUGCUAAUACCGCAUGACAUCGUCGAUCCUUCGGGACUGACGAUCAAAGCCGGGGACCGUAAGGCCUGGCGCUUGAAGACGAGCCCGCGUCCGAUUAGCUAGUUGGCGGGGUUAAUGGCCCACCGAAGGCUUCGAGUCGGGUA